UGGUGUUUGCCAGUGAGGAUGUGCGUC
rnacentral:piRNA from 1 species